UCCAGGAUGAGACGCUAAGACUGACCUUGAUGAUGAUCUCAGGGAUGGUUAGCACGGUGGACUUUUGCUUGGCCAGAACAUCCCUGGUCUCAUUGAUGCGAGCUGUGACAAAGAAGUGCAGGGACGCUUGUUCCAGCAGCUGACCCAUGUACUCGCCGGCUUGGAUCAGCACCGCCUCUUUCUUGACUAGUAGGAGAAAACACACACAGGCCUGGCAUCAAGACUUGAGACAGGGUCUGCUUUACUUUUCUCCAAGUUUCCCUACCCCUCCCACAUUAGCCUGGAAGCCACCAGGAACACAGCAAAGGAUCACAGAUGCAUGAGGAUCAGAAGCACUAAAGUCCAUUUCAUCUCAAAGGUCUACAGUCAUUCAUCUUGUACUGUGUCCUAGAAAAAUCCAGGACCUACUCCGAAUUGUGGUCAGUUUGAUUUACUAGCUGAAGUUCAAGAUUUUUUUACAAUGCUAAAGAGUACAUCGAACAUCGAUUGGUUAAAAAAGUUUAGUCAUGAGUUAGUUCCCAAAAGGCAUAGUCAGAGCAAAGUAUUAAUGGGGAUUAAUGAUGGCAUUGUGGUUCGAUAUUAGCAAAAGGCCAGGGUUAAAAAUAAAUGCAUACAUCUCAAGGGAAGCUGGAUAGUCCAGGAUGGCAGCAGUACAAACACUGAAAUUUAAAAAUAUGUAACUAUAUUGACGUUUUUUUCUCUCCUCCUACUUUCCUAAUUUUCUCAUUAAUAUUACCUUUUUUCUUACUACAACUGAAUCAGAAUACCAUGGAUCAAGUAACUGUAAAUGUUGAGAUCCUAUGGAAUAAACUUCAGUUGUGUCAACCUUAGUUUUCUGAAUUGCAAAACAAACAAGCCCCCAGAAGAGCAAAUAACCCUCUACUACAUUUUUCUUCAGUGCUUUUGGUGACUAGCUGUUUGUAUAUAAUUUCCACCAUGGAGAAAGGGUUUCUUCAAAUAAUAGCAUGGUUAAUUACUGUGGGACCUCAGACAUUCUUCUAUCUUUUGAUCCAAUGUUUAGUCCUGGGAAACCUUUGAGCUACAUUUGAGAGAUUUGCUUUCCCAUACAACCCUAUGCUUAUUUCCAUCACAGAAUUUGCCAUGCUGAGCUAAAAUUUUCUAUUUACUAGUCUGUGUUCUCUGUUAGACUGUAAGCUUUGUGAAGGCAGAAACUUAAUUUUGUUCACAAUUGUACUCCAGUGUUCAGACUGGUAGAUUGCCAUAAACAUUUGUCAAACAAAUGAGUAAAUACUGAGUGUUUUACCACCAUCACCACCACCACUACCACUAUCACCACCAUCAUAAAUCACCACCACCACCACAUUACGCCAUCACCACCACUACCACCAUCACUCCCACCACCAUCACUCCUACCAUCACCACCACCAUCACCGUCACCAUCUCCACCACCACCAUCACCAUCAUCAUCACUAUCACCACCAUAAUCACCCUACCAUCACCACCAUUAUUAUCACAAUCACUAUCACCACCACCGUCACCACCACCAUCAUCACUAACUCUAUCACCACCACCACCAAACACCACCACCAUUAUCAUAUCAUAUUUGGUACCUGAUCGUCUUUGGAAGCUCAUUCUCCAGGGCCCCAGUGCCUAUGGCUAUUUAGAAUCCUCUGAUUGAUACCUUUCUUCACUUAUUCCCCAUUUUCAAUAAUUUGCCUCAUCUGGGCUCCAUUCCCUUGGGGCUCUCUUCUUUUCUAGGAAAUGGCAAUUCAAUCUUACAUAAUUAUUGUGUUAUUGGCAAUAACGUGUUGAUAGUGGCCCUCUAAGGUAAUAUGAUCUGAGAGUAAGGACCAUAUCUGGUUUCAGCUCAGCCACUUAUUUGCUGUGUGACUUUGAGUGAGGGACACCACUUCCAAGGGCUUCUGCUUCCUCACCCAGAAGACUCUUGGAGAGUCCUCCCCAUUGCACACGCUGGUUCAGCAUGUGUUUCGACACAGAUCCUCCACUGGUAAUGCCUUGACCCACUGGAGCAAAUAUGGAUGGAGGUGGUACAUGUAGGUGUGUCACAGUGAAUAACGAGCCUUUAUCUGCAGUAGCGGCAGCCUUUGCAGAAGCAGCUGCAUCUCCUUGGGGGAAAUUCUCUGCCCAUAGUUGCUGCCAGAUCCUAUCAGUCGGGAGGCAGGAACAGGCAUAGACAGGUAACCACGCCGCAGUAAUGCCAGGUGGUUGCACAGCCUUCCCUUUUCCCCAGAACCAUGCUGCCCUUGUCACAAUAUGUCACGGCCCACCUUCUUUGAUAGUCUGACUCAGGGCUCAGAGUCCAUGUCUGGCUUAUUCACAGAAACUUGGGGCUAGCAAUAGAAUGCUUUAUUAAUGCCAUGUGAGGGAAGUAAGUGUUCGGAUGGCACAAAGUUAAGCAUUCUCCUUAGCUUUCUCUGGCAAUUUUCCUGGUGGGAACUGUCACAUCAGAAAUGCAUUGAAAAGAAAGCAGCAAUCAAGCAAUGCAAUUUAAAGGGAGAAGUAUAACUGUGGGCAAGUUUCUUCAUUUUUUCUAAUUGCUUCUCUUUUUUUUCUUUUCUCUCUUAAAUCAAUCUGCAGUAUAGCUUGGUAAAAUGCACCACUCAGUAUUUAAAGGAGCCUAAGCAAAAGUUAGCUUAUGUAAGGUUAUAAUAUCUCAGGCCUAAUCUCUAGAUGAUGAGAAUACAGGAUUUUGGACUUGCUUUCUCCUGGGAAACUCCAAUAGCCCCAGGCUGUCCAGAUUGUCAUAACUUUUCCUACUUUUACAUCAAAGUGAAAUAACAGCAACUCAAUAUAAGAACAAGGGAAGUUACUGAAUGUAUAAAGGAAAAAAUAGAAGAAGGGAGAGCACUAUUUUGAAGAAUAAAAGAGUAUUCUUGCUGCCAAUGUGGUUUGAGUACAGAGACAAAAUUUCACUUUAAAGACAAAGAUGCGAGGCCAGCAGAGGUGAGUUAUUUACCCUGGGUCACAUAGUAAGUUAAUAGCACAACCAGAAUCAAGGUCCAAUCCCUCGACACGAGCUGAGUCGCUUCCCAUAUGAUGCUGCCUUCACUUUCUUUUCAGUCAAGGAUGAAAACCAGCAGGUUUUGAGUGAGUUAGGAAGACAGAUUCGCUAUGCAGGUGAGAAGAGAGUGUUACUUACAUUCCAUAGGUGGAGAAACUGAGUCACAGAGGGGUUUAGUGCUGUCAUCCUCACUAAGGGUGAUUUUUACCCCCAGUAGACAUUUGGUAAUAUGUGGAAUCAGUUUGAGUUGUCACAACUGGUAAGGGAACAGUUAUGACAACUUGCAUCCCCCAGGUAGAAGAUAGGGAUGUCGUUAAACAUUCUACACAGGACAACCUUCUACAACAAACAAUUACCCAAGGUCACAUACAAUAAAUAUAAAUAUACUGAACAAUAAAUAUUUUUAUCUGGGGAUUGUGCACUUAAAAUCCUUUUGAGAUGGAGUUUUACUCUUGAGUGCAAUGGUGUGAUCACAGCUCACCACAACCUCUGCCUCCCGGGUUCAAGCAAUUCUCCUGCCUCAGCCUCCUGAGUAACUGGAAUUACAGGCAUGCAUCACCAUGCCUGGCUAAUUUUUUGUAUUUUCAGUAGAGAUAGGGUUU
rnacentral:lncRNA from 1 species